rnacentral:rRNA from 1 species
GACGAACGCUGGCGGCGUGCUUAACACAUGCAAGUCGAACGGAAAGGCCCUGCUUUUGUGGGGUGCUCGAGUGGCGAACGGGUGAGUAACACGUGAGUAACCUGCCCUUGACUUUGGGAUAACUUCAGGAAACUGGGGCUAAUACCGGAUAGGAGCUCCUGCUGCAUGGUGGGGGUUGGAAAGUUUCGGCGGUUGGGGAUGGACUCGCAGCUUAUCAGCUUGUUGGUGGGGUAGUGGCUUACCAAGGCUUUGACGGGUAGCCGGCCUGAGAGGGUGACCGGCCACAUUGGGACUGAGAUACGGCCCAGACUCCUACGGGAGGCAGCAGUGGGGAAUAUUGCACAAUGGGCGGAGGCCUGAGGCAGCAACGCCGCGUGCGGGAUGACGGCCUUCGGGUUGGAAACCGCUUUCGCCUGUGACGAAGCGUGAGUGACGGUAAUGGGGAAAGAAGCACCGGCUAACUACGU